AUCACGUGUCCACAGAUGCGACCGAGAAAACGUGAUGGAGGCUCUGCAGGAGGCAGGAACGUGACGGCAGCAGGAUACCGGAAUACGUCACGAAGGAGUCACGUGACUUCUUCAUAUAGACUUCAAGGUCUUCCCUUUAAUUGAAACACAAGCAUAUUAUUAAAUAUUAAGUGUUUGAAACGUGAAUUGACAGUGCUGAGCAUAGAGUCGGCCCAGAUCCUGAGCCGAAAGGUUCAGAGCAGUGUUGCCAGAUUUGGCCUGAUUUGCCGCUCAAUCUGGCAACACUGGUCCGGAGUCCUGCUGAAGGCAGUCGGAUUCGAACCCGCGACCUGAGGAGACCAGAUUUUAGUCCAGGGCUCGUUGACGGUACAGGUCUCACAAGUUAUUUCCCCCCUGUGACUCACCGAGUCUUUAAUUUAAUAGGCCUAUCCUAUCACCUAAAUUAAAUGAUAAUAUUAUAAUAAUAUAAUAAUAAUAACACUAAGACAGCUCUUUACUGAUCUUUAAGCACAGUGGAGUUGCUAUUGUAAGUUAACGCUUAUUUAAUGACAUUAAUACCAUGACGUCAGAAGAUCAGUUUGUAACGAACAUGAACGAGAUUAAGAUUGCAGCUAUCAAUCCCACCAUGUUUUUGUGUGCACAAAAAUUACUCAAUGAAAUGUAUAUAUAAAUCUAGAUUCUGACUAAAACGAGGAAACGUAUUUAUAAAGAUAUGCAAUACACUUAAUUAUAAAUGUAUUAAUCAAGUAGGUUUAACAUGCAGGGACAGUCAAACAAGAUGUUACAGAUUAAAUAUACAUAAAAUAUAUUAUAUAAAUCUACAAUGACAAUGAGCCUGGAUGCAAGGCAGUUUAAGGAACAAAAAGAGUGUGUUGAUUUAAGCUUCAAGGCUGGGGGCUUCCGUUUCAGACUCUGAAUUAAACAUUUAGGGAUAGGGGAGGAACCCGAGCCACUGAGUCAUUCAGAGGGUGAGGGGAUCUGAUGACAACAUGAGGUUCAUGUUCGCAUUCACAAACACCUCACUGACAUUAACCCUUUAAAGCUCUGUUCCCUACCUAGACUUCCUGAUUGUAAGAAAAUAUACAUUAUUAGGAAGUUGAAUAAUAUGAAUAAUCACAUAAUAAUAAAAUGAUAAUAAUAAUAAAAUAGUUAUAAUAUACAUUUAUAUUGUUGUUGUGAGUAUUUUUAUUCUAUUCUGUCCAUUUGUAUUAUUCCACAAAACAUCUAAUGCAGUGUUGCUAGGAAACUGUUGCCUAUAGCGAAUGUAUACAAGCAGACUGAGCCCUGUUAAUCCCCCCCCCUCCCCCUCCCUCCAUGUGACCCCCGGUCCCGGUGUCAGUGUAGUGCAGUGCGAGCUGCCACACCUGGGCGGGCACUGCAGCGCACACCAGUGUUUGGGUGAUUGGCGGAGAAUCAGACGGUCCUGAAUCAACCACCACGGCCUACAGAUGGCGCUGGCUAGUGGACACUGGGUGGAGAAGGAGAGCAGAGGAGACGCCCCGAGUCCCAGACAUGGCCAUGCCUUGGCUGUAGCAGGCAAUGUGGCCUUUCUGUUCGGAGGAGCCAGAAGCCAUCAGGAGGACACAGAAUACCUCAAUGAUUUCUACAUGCUUACAGCCAAUCACAUGACUGCAGUCCCGAGUCCGACCGAGUCCGAGUCUCACGCCACGAGUCCGACCGAGUCCGAGUCUGACGCCACGCCCACACUUCAAGCGUUUUAUUAUUUCGCUCGGUCGUUGGAGGAAAACAUGGACGCCACCCGGAAAGCUGUUGUCGCGGUAGUCCGCCUUUGUCGAUCCCUUUUGUCUGCGAAUAUUUGUCUUUCUCGAAAAAAUAAAAAAAAAUUAAGCAAUAAGGUAUUGCAGUAAUACGAGUGAUUGAAAUGCCUUUUAAACCACCAAAGUGGACCAAGCACAAUGAAAACAGUUCAUACUUCAAGUCACACCGGGCGCAGCCAUCUUGAAUUCUGUCUUGGAAUUUUGCUCGGUCACCACUGAGUUCAACCGAGAUGGCGAGUUCGCCGUCCGAGGAAAAGGGGCAUGUUUGUGCAUGUUGCUAGGCAACGUCCUCGGACCUCCGAGACGGAUGGAUAUUAAAAUGCAGCAUAGUCCAGCCUCCGAGCCUCCCGGUUCCCUCGGUCAAAUAUCUAUGGGAAAUAACAUGGGUUUUUUGAAUGAUCGCACAUAACCAUCUCUAGGCGGCAAAGAAGUAAAAGCUGCAUCACGUUUUGAACUACACACUUUUUC
ensembl:lncRNA